AACUGGAUUAGCCUAGUUGUCAAAGGCAGUGCUUCUAGCAUAGUGUCUCUUAUGAUGAAGUCCCAGGUUCAAAACCUGGUCUAGUCA
rnacentral:tRNA from 1 species